UUUUUUGUGGAGAGUUUGAUCCUGGCUCAGGAUGAACGCUGGCGGCGUGCUUAACACAUGCAAGUCGAACGGAAAGGCCAGUGCUUGCACUGGUACUCGAGUGGCGAACGGGUGAGUAACACGUGGGUGAUCUGCCCCGCACUUCGGGAUAAGCCUGGGAAACUGGGUCUAAUACCGGAUAGGAC
rnacentral:rRNA from 1 species